CCGUAGCCCAAGAGAUCGGGAUAACACCUGGAAACAGAUGCUAAUACCGGAUAACAACAGAUGAUGCCUAUCAACUGCUUAAAAGAUGGUUCUGCUAUCACUCUUGGAUGGACCUGCGGUGCAUUAGCUAGUUGGUAGGGUAACGGCCUACCAAGGCGAUGAUGCAUAGCCGAGUUGAGAGACUGAUCGGCCACAUUGGGACUGAGACACGGCCCAAACUCCUACGGGAGGCAGCAGGA
rnacentral:rRNA from 1 species